GACGAACGCUGGCGGCGUGCUUAACACAUGCCAGUCGAACGGAAAGGCCCUGCUUUUGUGGGGUGCUCGAGUGGCGAACGGGUGAGUAACACGUGAGUAACCUGCCCUUGACUUUGGGAUAACUUCAGGAAACUGGGGCUAAUACCGGAUAGGAGCUCCUGCUGCAUGGUGGGGGUUGGAAAGUUUCGGCGGUUGGGGAUGGACUCGCGGCUUAUCAGCUUGUUGGUGGGGUAGUGGCUUACCAAGGCUUUGACGGGUAGCCGGCCUGAGAGGGUGACCGGCCACAUUGGGACUGAGGUACGGCCCAGAGUCCUACGGUAGGCAGCAGUGGGGAAUAUUGCACAGUGGGCGGAAGCGGGAUGCAGCAACGCCGCGUGCGGGAUGACGGCCUUCGGGUUGUAAACCGCUUUCGCCUGUGACGAAGCGGGAGUGACGGUAAUGGGUAAAGAAGCACCGGCUAACUACGUG
rnacentral:rRNA from 1 species